rnacentral:sRNA from 1 species
GAGUCGGGUGAGACCACGACUUUAGGCAU